CGGAGGCGGAGCGGGCAUCACCCGCAGGACGCCGGGCGCCUCCCCGCGGCCCAGGCGCACGUGCCGGGCCGCGGCCAGGGCUGGUGGCCGCACCGUAGUAGCCGGGGCGGGUGGGAGCGCGGGCUCCGGGCCUCGGCCGUCACUCGCCCGCCGGCUCCGGCGGUUGGGCGGAGGAAGCGCGGGACUCCUCCUCCCCACCGUAUUAACAUGCACCCAGGGGCGGGUGACCAGCCCAGCCUCGCCGCCCCAGCCCACCGCGUCCCGCCACUGAGCCUCCGCGCCAGAGGCGAGCGCUGCGCUCCGGGCGCCGCAAUCCCGAGGACCCGGCCUCUCCGACACCUCCGGCCCCGGGGAAUCGGCGGCAUCCGCAGCGGGAGCGGUCGCAGCCGCCUCGGCUUCUCUCUCGAGUCCUUCGCCUCGCGUCGCUAAGAGCCUGUCCCGGCCACGGGGACACCUCUUUCGUCCUGCCUCCGAAGCUCGCGGGAACCGACGGACGGCCGCGGCGACCGAGGGCCGGACUGCGGGCAGCGGCAAGCCGAAUUUCCGCUUCAGGGAGCAGCUUUCUAUUGGCCUAUGGAAUUUUGCAUGUAUAGCGGCAGUCUUUAUCCCAACUUGAACGGAAAUGAAAGGAAGAUAAGGAAGCUGAGGUAUGGAAUUGUCUCUGGUCACACAGGGAAUAGCUCGUGGAACCAGUGGAGAGAGGAUGCAAAUAUGAGAUGUCUGACCCUGUUCCAACAUUCUUUAUCUCUGGUCUCAACUUCUUUAUCAAUAAGAUAUAUUGUAUCAUCUUUAUUGUAAAGUAAAAUAAAUAAUAAAA
ensembl:lncRNA